UAUUCACGAAUACGGCACUAUUCACAGAAAAAUUAAAUUUUUCGUUUUUCGUCCAAAAUAUCUAUUAUGGAUACUAGCUUCGAUUGUAUCCAUGUUUUGAUCAUUCUACAAACCUUAAAACUGCACAUGCAAAUACAAUGUAAUUUUUGUGUGUGUGUAAUUACACCAUGAAUGGGCUACUUACAGCCAACACAAGAACAUUGUAAAUAAAGGAUGAAGAAUAAAGAAAAUGAAAGUUAGAGGAACCUCAAACUAGGUUAAUGUUAAAGACUACCUUGUGUUUGAAGCUCUUGAACCCAUUUUUUAGCCCGGUCGAAUGAGGCCUGCAAAAGGAAAUUUCCAAACAUUACAACUGCAUGUAAUAACAUAACAAUUGCUUGAUGGGCAUUGCAUAUCAAAUUCCUCUAUAAAGAACCAUAUAAUAAGGAAAUAACUAAAUGAAAGGGUGUGUAUAGUGUAAAAUGAAAAGCGAAGACAAUAUUCCUUUGAAACCGCAAAAUAUAAAAAGUACACAACAAUCCUCUGAAACCAAAAAAAGUAAUAAGUAAUAGUAGCAUCCUAGAAUUAACAUAUCCAGCUCUUUUUUAAAAUUAUUACCUAGAAAAAAGAGGAAUAGUAGCAUCCUACAUAAACAUAUUCUAUAUAUUAAAGUAAAUAGAAACAAGAUGUUUUGGAUCGGCAUGUUCCAGAAUGCACCAUGAUUUUGAACAUUCAUGCCAUAAUGCAAAUAACUACCAUGUUAGCAUUUUGUGUCGACUCUGAACGGAUCUAACUUCAUGAUUCAUGCAUUUUCAAGUUUGGGUUGUUUAGAAACAAAAUAAUCAUAGCAAAAAGAACCAUCCAGUAGUUUCAAACAUAUUAGGUGCCCUUUCUUGAAAAUAUUAAAAUGAGCAAUUACACUAGAAAACUGUGAAACAAAUUGUUCUUAUCAGACCAGAGAGAUCCUACCUAAAUCUGAGAAAGAAAGUGAAGUUCAAAAUUUUAUUAAGAUAGUAUGACAAUAAAUGGGUGUCUUCAAAAUUUCCACAUCUGUACUAAAACAGUAAUGUCUCAGAAACACAAGCAUUAACAGUCAAAAACUAAUUCUAUAAAAUUGCAAGAUAUAACUUUUAUCACCAAUAAGGAAAAUAUUCAAAAAGAAUAAAUUAACAAUUAGCAGCCAACUUAACAGGAAGUUAUGAAACCAAUUAACUAGCACUAUCCUAUAAAUAUAACAGGAUUGAGAAAAACAAACACAAAUUUAAUCAGGAAACAAAAUUCAAAAACAAGAUACAUGUAUGCAUACCCAUUGGCUUAAUUCCCACUGACACAUAAUGCAAAGAAAAAACUAUCCCAUGAAGAAUAAAAAUACAAGAAAUUCCCCGAAUAGAAAAGGGUAGAAGCAAUCAAACACAAACAAAACAAAAGAACCUUUGAUUACAUAAACCCAAAACUCUAAUGAAGAAAAAGAACCCUGAAACUGAAGCAAGCUUUGCAUGCAAAUAAUACCUGUGGCGCUCAAUGCUCGAGCAGAAAAGGGGCUCGACUCGCCAAAACGGUCGGCAGAUAAAACGAGUCGACGUUCGCGGCCAUUCACCGGUGGCGGCUGAACUUGAUCCCUAUUCUCCAGAUGCGAAAGUUCUACUCCAUCGCUGAUGUGUCGCUGGAGCUUAGAGCGGCGGCGGUGAAGAAGUUGAAAGAUUUUGUGUGAAAAAUGGGAAGGAGGGAAUAUCAGAUUGGGGGAAAAUUAGGGGAAAAGUAAGGAGGGAAUGAAAUUAAAGUAUAGGAAACGUUUUAAGCUCC
rnacentral:lncRNA from 1 species